rnacentral:lncRNA from 1 species
GAGGACAUAUGGCCCCUUUAAGUUUUUGUUUGCUCGAAGUGGGAGAAAAAUACCCAGCCACAGUGUGGAGGGGUUUUCCCUUUUAUUUUUUAUUAAGCAUCAAGAGACACAGCAAUCUGCUUGCAGAUACUGUACGUGCAUAAUUAAUAAAAUCUCAUUAUUUAUUUAUAAAGAGACACACGAGGAACUGGAGAAUUGGGGCUAUCCCCAUUAUAUAGGAAGCAAGGGGGAGAGAAAGUGGGAGAGAGCCGAAAUACUGUACUUUUUGAAGCCUGGAUCCUUCCAGAGAAGUGAAUCUCUUACUAUGCAAUGAAUAAAAAGGCGUGUGCUCAUCGGAGCAGCUCUGCGCCCAGGAACCAUCAGGAAGCAGAAACCUGGCUCAGGAGCUUCCAAAACGCAGGGGGACCGAGUCGGCGCUGGCAGCGCCCAGCACGCCGGCACUGGGGAGUUGGCAGGAGGCGGCGGCGAGGGGCACCGCGCAGGGCCAGGCCGCCGGGGCUGAGGCUCAGGAGUCUCCCGGGGCACAGACUGCUGGCAGCCUGGUCUUAUCUGCGCUUGCUGGGCUCAAAGUGCAUGAGCGUGUCACCUGGGUCCUGAGCCUUCCUGCAUGUCUACAUCCGGGAAACUGCAUUCCCAGGGUAGAAGACAGUCCAAGUGGCUGAGCUUGGAUCAGGUGGACCCACCUGAGGGCUGAUCAUUGGUGAGGUACACAUGGCUGUGAUGGCCUUGGCCUUUGGAGGAGGCAGCAGUAAGUUGAGCAGACAGCAUCACAGGUGAGGUGCCUACAUCAGCCAGGAGGAACUAAGAAGCUCUGCUUGAGUUGACGAGGGUUCAGUGCCUUUUGCUGCUUCAUGCCUGGCAGCUUAGGUGGCUUGCUCAGGAUAGAGGUGGCUGAGGGGCAAAGGGGGCACAAGAGACCAGCAAGGGAGCUGUUACUCCAGUGUAAGGUCAAGGCCUGCACCUGGGCACAAAAUUCCCACCCUGGCCUCUGCCCUGGGCCAUUUUUGUUUCCUGCCUCCUGGGCCAGUUCCAGUCAUCCACCAUUCUGAGUGGCUCCUGCUGUGGAGACAGGCUUUGGGCAGAAGCCUCAGGGGCACCGGGGACUUGGUUCGG